rnacentral:rRNA from 1 species
UACGUAGGGGGCAAGCGUUAUCCGGAUUUACUGGGUGUAAAGGGAGCGUAGACGGCGCGGCAAGUCUGAAGUGAAAGGCAGGGGCUUAACCCCUGAACUGCUUUGGAAACUGCCAUGCUAGAGUGCUGGAGAGGUAAGUGGAAUUCCUAGUGUAGCGGUAAAAUGCGUAGAUAUAUGGAAGAACACCAGUGGCGAAGGCGGCCGCCUGGCCUGUUACUGACGCUGAGGCACGAAAGCGUGGGGGGCAAAUAGG